GGUCUGCAUCCAGGCUGCCCGAGGAUGGGGGCUCGUGCUCCACCCAGAGCGAGCUCUGCUUCAUGAAGGACUUCUGGGAGGGAGAGGAAGAGAAGAGUGAGCUGUGCUUCAUCCCUGGUUUCCUGAUGUAGGUCCGUGCCAGCAGCAGAGCCCCCAGGAGGCCCAGCAAGGAGAGGAUGAUGAAGGAAGAGCUGAGGAUGGUCGGGAGGAUCUCUGCACUCCCUGCAAGAGAGGACACGACCAGCACCGUGCGGGACAGAUGGGGACAGCAUGGGAACAGCCACUCCUCUCACCGUGUGGUUGUCCCGUGUCCUCCUGAGGUGCACGUGGUAGCGGGUCAUUGCCCUCUGGAAGUCGCUGU